UUAGCCUACGGGGGGCAGCAGUCGAGAAUCAUUCGCAAUGGGGGAAACCCUGACGCAGCAACGCCGCGUGCGGGAUGAAGGCUUUCGGGUUGUAAACCGCUUUCAGCAGGGAAGAUAGUGACGGUACCUGCAGAAGAAGCCCCGGCUAUAUACGAGCCAGCAGCCGCGGUAAUACGUAUGGGGCGAGCGUUAUCCGGAUUCAUUGGGCGUAAAGCGCGCGCAGGCGGGCUGCUAAGCGGGACCUCUAAUCUCGGGGCUCAACCCCGAGCCGGGUUCCGAACUGGCAGCCUCGGGUUCGGUAGGGG
rnacentral:rRNA from 1 species